UACGUAGGAUGCUAGCGUUGUUCGGAUUUACUGGGCGUAAAGCGCGUGUAGGCGGCUUUGCAAGUCGGAUGUGAAAUCCCACGGCUCAACCGUGGAAGUGCAUCCGAAACUGCAUCGCUCGAGUCUCGGAGAGGAAGGUGGAAUGCUUGGUGUAGAGGUGAAAUUCGUAGAUAUCAAGCAGAACACCUGCGGCGAAGGCGGCCUUCUGGACGAUGACUGACGCUGAGACGCGAAAGCGUGGGGAGCAAACAGG
rnacentral:rRNA from 1 species